ensembl:ncRNA lncRNA:CR44970 long non-coding RNA:CR44970
UUUUUAUUUAAUUAACUUCAUUGGAUUGCCAUGUCAGGCAGGACAGGGAGCGGUGGAUGGGAGCACCGAAGGCUGAACUGCAAGGCAGUCCGUCGUCAGGUAGGUGGGCAAACCAGCUUGCAUCUCCGGCCCUGCCCACAUGCAAAAGCCCUGGCAUCUGCUCCGACUGUCGUUGUCGUUUUCAGCACCUUGACAAUGACUUAUUGUCGCCAGCCAGCAAGGAGAAGACGGAUAUGGAGGAGCAGGAGGGAACCAGGAGGUAGUCAGGAGGUAGCCAGGACUCGCUGCAUGCGGAGACAGAGCUCAUCUCCAGUUCAUUGGCAAUUCUUUGGCUAAAGUGGCCUUUCUUGUCUGGGCGUGGGCACAGCUCCUCGUGGCGUCGAAACAUCUACACAGAAAGAAAAUUCUUUUCCCCGAAAUCAAUCCUAU